rnacentral:rRNA from 1 species
AGUGAACGCUGGCGGUAGGCCUAACACAUGCAAGUCGAACGGCAGCACAGUAAUAGCUUGCUCUUACGGGUGGCGAGUGGCGGACGGGUGAGGAAUACAUCGGAAUCUACUUUUUCAUGGGGGAUAACGUAGGGAAACUUACGCUAAUACCGCAUACGACCUACGGGUGAAAGCAUGGGAUCUUCGGACCUUGCGCGAUUGAAUGAGCCGAUGUCGGGUUAGCUAGUUGGCGGGGUAAAGGCCCACCAAGGCGACGAUCCGUAGCUGGUCUGAGAGGAUGAUCAGCCACACUGGAACUGAGACACGGUCCAGACUCCUACGGGAGGCAGCAGUGGGGAAUAUUGGACAAUGGGCGCAAGCCUGAUCCAGCCAUACCGCGUGGGUGAAGAAGGCCUUCGGGUUGUAAAGCCCUUUUGUUGGGAAAGAAAAGCAGCAGGUUAAUACCCCGCUGUUCUGACGGUACCCAAAGAAUAAGCACCGGCUAACUUCGUG